rnacentral:tRNA from 1 species
GCGCCCGUAGCUCAGCUGGACAGAGCAGUGGCCUUCUAAUCCACCGGUCGCAGGUUCGAAUCCUGCCGGGCGCACCA